rnacentral:rRNA from 1 species
GAUGAACGCUGACAGAAUGCUUAACACAUCAGCAAUUGAUUGGUGGCGGACGGGUGAGUAACGCGUAAAGAACUUACCUCACAGUUAGGGACAACAUUUGGAAACGAAUGCUAAUACCUAAUACUGUGAGAGAGCUUUGCGUCCCAUUAGCUAGUUGGAGAGGUAACGGCGCACCAAGGCGAUGAUGGGUAGCCGGACUGAGAGGGUGAUCGGCCACAAGAGGACUGAGAUGCGGCCCUUACUACUGCGGGAGGCAGCAGUGAGGUAUAUUGUACAAUGGACCAAAGUCUGAUCCAGCAAUUCUGUGUGCACGAUGAAGUUUUCGGAAUGUAAAGUGCUUUGAGUUGGGAAGCGGUACCAACAGAAGAAGGGACGGCUAAAUACGUGCCAGCAGCCGCGGUAAUUC